rnacentral:rRNA from 1 species
GGCUCAGAAUCAACGCUGGCGGCGUGCCUAACACAUGCAAGUCGAACGAGAAAGUGGGGGCAACUCCAUGAGUAAAGUGGCAGACGGGUGAGUAACACGUGAACAACCUACCCUCGAGUGUGGAAUAACACCGCGAAAGCGGUGCUAAUACCGCAUAACAUCUUCGGGUCGCAUGAUUUGGAGAUCAAAAGCGCAAGUUGCUUGAGGAGGGGUUCGCGCCUGAUUAGCUAGUUGGUGAGGUAACGGCCCACCAAGGCAACGAUCAGUAGCCGGCCUGAGAGGGCGAACGGCCACACUGGAACUGAGACACGGUCCAGACUCCUACGGGAGGCAGCAGUGGGGAAUUUUGCGCAAUGGGCGAAAGCCUGACGCAGCAACGCCGCGUGGAGGAUGAAGGUCUUCGGAUCGUAAACUCCUGUCGAUGGGGAAGAAUGCUUCGCAAGAAGUUUGACUGUACCCGUUGAGGAAGCCACGGCUAACUCCGUGCCAGCAGCCGCGGUAAUACGGAGGUGGCAAGCGUUGUUCGGAAUUACUGGGCGUAAAGGGCGCGUAGGCGGCUUUGCAAGUCAGAUGUGAAAGCCCCGGGCUUAACUCGGGAAUUGCAUCUGAAACUGCUUAGCUUGAGUUCUGGAUGGGGUAGUGGAAUUCCCAGUGUAGCGGUGAAAUGCGUAGAUAUUGGGAGGAACACCUGCGGCGAAGGCGGCUACCUGGACAGUGACUGACGCUGAGGCGCGAAAGCUAGGGGAGCGAACGGGAUUAGAUACCCCGGUAGUCCUAGCUGUAAACGAUGGGCACUUGGUGUUGGGGGUAUUGAGUCCCUCGGUGCCGGAGUUAACACGUUAAGUGCCCCGCCUGGGGAGUACGGUCGCAAGACUGAAACUC